ACCAAGGAGUCUAACAUGUACGCGAGUCAUUGGGACUUGUAAUGGUAUACCUAAAGGCGAAAUGAAAGUGAAGGUCGGCCCUGGUUGUCGACCGAGGGAGGAUGGGCCGCGUCGCGAUGCGGCUCCGCACUCCCGGGGCGUCUCGUUCUCAUCGCGAGAAGAGGCGCACCCAGAGCGUACACGUUGGGACCCGAAAGAUGGUGAAC
rnacentral:ncRNA from 1 species